rnacentral:rRNA from 1 species
AACAAACGCUGGCGGCGUGCCUAAUACAUGCAAGUCGAACGGGGAAAGUAGCAAUACGAGUACUAGUGGCGCACGGGUGAGGAAUACAUGGGUAAUCUGCCCUCGAGCUCGGGAUAACCAGUCGAAAGACUGGCUAAUACCGGAUAUGACCACAAGAUCUGAGGAUCAAGGGGUAAAAGGUUUUUCGCUUGAGGAUGAGCCCAUGUGGGAUUAGCUAGUUGGUGUAGGUAACGGCUCACCAAGGCGACGAUCCCUAACUGGUCUUAGAGGAUGAUCAGUCACACUGGAACUGAGACACGGUCCAGACUCCUACGGGAGGCAGCAGUAGGGAAUAUUGCACAAUGGAGGAAACUCUGAUGCAGCGACGCCGCGUGAGUGAUGAAGGCCUUCGGGUCGUAAAGCUCUGUCGUAUGGGACUAACAAAAUGAAGGUACCAUGCAAGAAAGGAUACGGGCUAAACCGUUUCGUAGGCCCAGCAGCCG